GCUUCAGUGGCAUAAGUGGUAAUAGCAUCUGCCUUGGAUGCAGGAGGUUGCAGGUUCUGACCACAGCCGAGUCAUGCCAUAAACU